rnacentral:misc_RNA from 1 species
CCGAGAGAGGGGCCUCGAGCUCCCGGGGGCUUCGGCCCCCAACUCUUCACCCUUUGUUUACCUACUUUUGUUGCUUUGGCGGACCUCGGGUUUCCUCUCGCGCCGGCCCUCGGGCCGGUGAGCGUCCGUCAGAGGCCCAUUUAAAUCCAGUUUAUUAGUGAUGUCUGAGUGAAAACACAAUUAGUA